UCGGGAAUAUUGCGCAAUGGAGGAAACUCUGACGCAGUGACGCCGCGUGCAGGAAGAAGGUUUUCGGAUUGUAAACUGCUUUAGACAGGGAAGAAACAAGACAGUACCUGUAGAAUAAGCUCCGGCUAACUACGUGCCAGCAGCCGCGGUAAUACGUAGGGAGCAAGCGUUAUCCGGAUUUAUUGGGUGUAAAGGGUGCGUAGACGGGAAAUGCAAGUUGGUUGUGAAAUCCCUCGGCUCAACCGAGGAAUUGCAACCAAAACUAUAUUUCUUGAGUGCUGGAGAGGAAAGUGGAAUUCCUAGUGUAGCGGUGAAAUGCGUAGAUAUUAGGAGGAACACCAGUGGCGAAGGCGACUUUCUGGACAGUAACUGACGUUGAGGCACGAAAGUGUGGGGAGCAAACAGGAUUAGAUACC
rnacentral:rRNA from 1 species